rnacentral:misc_RNA from 1 species
AACGCACAUUGCGCCCAUUAGUAUUCUAGUGGGCAUGCCUGUUCGAGCGUCAUUUCAACCUUCAGAAUAUUUCUGAUGUUGGACACUGUAGGAAACUACAAUGCCCAAAAUACAGCGGCGAAAAGCACUUAUGAGCCAAGUGAAGUAACUUAUUUUCACUACGGCGAUGGGUGAUCUUCUGCCUUCCCAUUAAAUCUCUCUCAGGUUGACCUCGAAUCAGACAGGAAUACCCGCUGAACUUAA